CAUCACUACGCUAGAUGCAUAUCAAUAAGCGGAGGAAAAGAAACUAACUAAGGAUUCCCUCAGUAACGGCGAGUGAAGCGGGAAGAGCUCAAAUUUGAAAUCUUCAAGGUUCUACCUUGACGAAUUGUAGUUUAAAGAAGUGUUUUCUGUUGAAGUUUUGGUAAAAGUUCUUUGGAAUAGGACAUCAUAGAGGGUGAGAAUCCCGUAUUUGACCAUUAUUUUCAGCUGUGUGAUACACUUUCGAAGAGUCGGAUUGUUUGGGAAUGCAGUCCAAAAUGGGUGGUAAAUUUCAUCUAAGGCUAAAUACUGGCGAGAGACCGAUAGCGAACAAGUACCGCGAGGGAAAGAUGAAAAGAACUUUGAAAAGAGAGUUAAACAGUACGUGAAAUUGUCAAAAGGGAAGCGUUUGACACCAGUGUUGUUUUCUCGAAAAUCAAUUAAAAAUGGCGGGAUUUUGUGUUGUAUUGACCUUAUCAAGCUUUCUUCACUCUUUUCCUUAUCUUUUUUAAUGCACUUUUCGUUUAACAAGUCAACAUCAAUUUCUUUUGUUGUAAAAGGGUCAUUGGAAGGUGGCUUUCUUUUCGGAGAAAGUGUUUAUAGCCUUUGGCCUCUGCAAUCGGAGAGAUUGAGGUCUGCAGCGUAGAUCCUUCGGGGUUAGAUGCAUUUGUGCUAAGCUAUAGCCUUUCAUAGACAACUUGUUGACUAUGAUCAGUCAUGUAGCUUACUCGCUUAUGUCAUUUUACCUACGCUUAGGAUGUUGACACACGCGCGUGCUCG
rnacentral:rRNA from 1 species